rnacentral:rRNA from 1 species
CCUACGGGAGGCUGCAGUAGGGAAUUUUGCGCAAUGGGCGAAAGCCUGACGCAGCAACGCCGCGUGAUCGAGACGCCCUUCGGGGUGUGUAGAUCUCUCAGUGGGGGCGAAACUUGAAGGUACGCACAGAGGAAGCACCGGCUAACUACGAGCAAGACGCCGCGAGAAUGCGGGGGGUGCAAGCGUAGUCCGGAAUCUUUGGGCGUAAAGAGGGUGUAAGCGGCACGUACAGUGUGGUGUUAAAAGCAGAGGCUCAACUUCUGUACGGCAGUGGAUACGGGCGAGCUAGAGUGCGGGAGAGGUAUAGGGAAUUCCUGGUGUAGCGGUGAAAUGCUUAGAGAUCAGGAGGAACAUCGGUGGCGUAGGCGCUUUACUGGGCCGUAAUUGACGCUGAGGAACGAAAGCCAGGGUAGCAAAUGGGAUUAGAUACCCGAGUAGUC